rnacentral:misc_RNA from 1 species
CGAACUGCGGUAAGUAAUGUGAAUUGCAGAAUUCAGUGAAUCAUCGAAUCUUUGAACGCACCUUGCGCUCCUUGGUAUUCCUUGGAGCAUGCCUGUUUGAGUAUCAUGAAAUCUUCAAAGUAAAUCUUUUGUUAACUCAAUUGGUUUCUACUUUGGUAUUGGAGGUCUUUGCAGCUUCACACCUGCUCCUCUUUGUUCAUUAGCUGGAUCUCAGUGUUAUGCUUGGUUCCACUCGGCGUGAUAAGUUAUCUAUCGCUGAGGACACUGUAAAAGGUGGCCAAGGUAAAUGCAGAUGAACCGCUUCUAAUAGUCCAUUGACUUGGACAAUACUUUUAUGAUCUGAUCUCAAAUCAGGUAGGACUACCCGCUGAACUUAAGC